GAUGAAGAACGCAGCAAAAUGCGAUAAGUAGUGUGAAUUGCAGAAUUCAGUGAAUCAUCGAAUCUUUGAACGCACAUUGCGCCCGCUAGUAUUCUGGCGGGCAUGCCUGUCCGAGCGUCAUUUCAACCCUCAAGCCCCCGGGCUUGGUGUUGGGGAUCGGCGAGCCUCCGCGCCCGCCGUCCCCUAAAUCUAGUGGCGGUCUCGCUGUAGCUUCCUCUGCGUAGUAGCACACCUCGCACUGGGAAACAGCGCGGCCACGCCGUUAAACCCCCAACUUCUGAACGUUUGACCUCGGAUCAGGUAGGAAUACCCGCUGAACUUAAGCAUAUCAAUAAGCGGAGGA
rnacentral:misc_RNA from 1 species